rnacentral:misc_RNA from 1 species
AAUCAAUUUUCUUUGCAAAUACAUGGAGCGAGAAACUGAAGGCUUCCACAGAACACGAUCAUUGAAAUUUAAACAUGAAUAACUUCAAAACGAUGAUUCGAGCACUAGAAAGGCAGCACGCCAAGACUACUGCUUUACUUCCAGUGCAGAUUUUAUGCGUUGCAUCAAUUGAGGAGCAUUGAGUGCGCCCUCAAAGCGAUCACAAACGUCUCCAUCCUUGAACAAUAUGAAG